rnacentral:rRNA from 1 species
UACAGAGGUGGCAAGCGUUGUUCGGAAUUACUGGGCGUAAAGGGCGCGUAGGCGGCCUCGUAAGUCCUGUGUGAAAUCCCCCGGCUCAACUGGGGAACUGCACAGGAAACUGCGAGGCUUGAGUUCGGGAGAGGGAAGCGGAAUUCCGGGUGUAGCGGUGAAAUGCGUAGAUAUCAGGAGGAACACCAAUGGCGAAGGCAGCUCGCUGGGACGGUACUGACGCUGAGACGCGAAAGCGUGGGGAGCAAACAGG